GAGAGAGAGAGAGAGAGAGAGAGAGAGAGACCGGCUACUAUACAAUCGAUAGUACCAAGCUCUUUAUACUAUCGAGUUUUCUACCGUUAUAUUAUACUAAUCUACCAACCACCCACUCAAUCAUAGGGGACCAUUAUCAUCCUAACCGCACAUCCUUAAUUUCAUCCAACUGAUGAAAUCUCGAUAGUACCAAGUGUUUUGUAUUAUUAAUUAGUAGCAUAUAUAU
rnacentral:lncRNA from 1 species